rnacentral:ncRNA from 1 species
GAUCUCUGGAGAAUCUCAUUUUUGAGUGCCGAAGGUGCAAGGCGAAAGCCGAAUCUCUCAGGCAAAAGGACAGAGGCU